AGAGUUUUGUCCUGGCUCAGGACGAACGCUGGCGGCGUGCUUAACACAUGCAAGUCGAACGGUGACGACGGAGCUUGCUCUGUCUGAUCAGUGGCGAACGGGUGAGUAACACGUGAGUAACCUGCCCCCGACUCUGGAAUAACCGUGGGAAACGACGGCUAAUACCGGAUAUGAGACGCACGGGCAUCUGUGUGUCUGGAAAGAUUUAUCGGUCAGGGAUGGACUCGCGGCCUAUCAGCUUGUUGGUGGGGUAAUGGCCCACCAAGGCGACGACGGGUAGCCGGCCUGAGAGGGCGACCGGCCACACUGGGACUGAGAUACGGCCCAGACUCCUACGGGAGGCAGCAGUGGGGAAUAUUGCACAAUGGGCGCAAGCCUGAUGCAGCGACGCCGCGUGAGGGAUGAAGGCCUUCGGGUUGUAAACCUCUUUCAGCAGGGAAGAAGCGAAAGUGACGGUACCUGCAGAAGAAGCGCCGGCUAACUACGUGCCAGCAGCCGCGGUAAUACGUAGGGCGCAAGCGUUGUCCGGAAUUAUUGGGCGUAAAGAGCUCGUAGGCGGUUUGUCGCGUCUGCUGUGAAAACCUGAGGCUCAACCUCGGGCUUGCAGUGGGUACGGGCAGACUAGAGUGCGGUAGGGGUGACUGGAAUUCCUGGUGUAGCGGUGGAAUGCGCAGAUAUCAGGAGGAACACCGAUGGCGAAGGCAGGUCACUGGGCCGCAACUGACGCUGAGGAGCGAAAGCAUGGGGAGCGAACAGGAUUAGAUACCCUGGUAGUCCAUGCCGUAAACGUUGGGCACUAGGUGUGGGGCUCAUUCCACGAGUUCCGUGCCGCAGCAAACGCAUUAAGUGCCCCGCCUGGGGAGUACGGCCGCAAGGCUAAAACUCAAAGAAAUUGACGGGGGCCCGCACAAGCGGCGGAGCAUGCGGAUUAAUUCGAUGCAACGCGAAGAACCUUACCCAAGGCUUGACAUACACCGGAAAAGUGCAGAGAUGUGCUCCCCGCAAGGUCGGUGUACAGGUGGUGCAUGGUUGUCGUCAGCUCGUGUCGUGAGAUGUUGGGUUAAGUCCCGCAACGAGCGCAACCCUCGUCCUAUGUUGCCAGCGGGUUAUGCCGGGGACUCAUAGGAGACUGCCGGGGUCAACUCGGAGGAAGGUGGGGAUGACGUCAAAUCAUCAUGCCCCUUAUGUCUUGGGCUUCACGCAUGCUACAAUGGCCGGUACAAAGGGCUGCGAUACCGCGAGGUGGAGCGAAUCCCAAAAAGCCGGUCUCAGUUCGGAUUGGGGUCUGCAACUCGACCCCAUGAAGUCGGAGUCGCUAGUAAUCGCAGAUCAGCAACGCUGCGGUGAAUA
rnacentral:rRNA from 1 species